GAGAUUCAGAAGCCUGAUCAAGAUUCACGUGGAGGAGAAUAGACCCCAUCUUUCAAUGAGACUUCAGGGCACAGUACUCUCCACAGGGAUACCAAUGUCUACAAGGGUCCCACUGGCCCAGCAGGGAAGCAACUCACCAGGUCCAGCCUAUACUUAAGAGGAAGGCAUUAUACAAGGGAGUGAAUGCCAGGAGGCAAGAUUAUUGGGAGGCACGUCAGAAGCUGCCUGCAAAAACAGGGCCCAAAUGAAACAGCUUUUAAUUCCAAAUGCAAAAUAAACAACAUGGAAAUAUAAGACAGCACAUUGAAAAGACCCAAGAGUCAAAGGAGGAAAUUUGUAUCCAGAGGUGUUCCAUGAAAUUGAGUGCUGAGAGAUAAGAAAAGGAAAAAAAAUGGAGAGUGAAGAAAGCAACAUUUUGAGAGCUGAGCAGGUUUUUUUUUUUUUUAAUCAGAAAUAGUGUUUAUUGGACUCCCUUCCAUAAAAAAAAAA